AUGUUGGUAAAGCAUUUACCUAAGUUAUGGAAAAUUCAUAAUUCAUCAGUUAUUUUAGAUAAUACUAAAAAACAAGAUAGAGUAAGAUAUAGAAGUGAGCAUUGA
rnacentral:rRNA from 1 species